GAUGGACGCUGGCGGCGUGCCUAAUACAUGCAAGUCGAGCGAAUGGAUUAAGAGCUUGCUCUUAUGAAGUUAGCGGCGGACGGGUGAGUAACACGUGGGUAACCUGCCCAUAAGACUGGGAUAACUCCGGGAAACCGGGGCUAAUACCGGAUAACAUUUUGAACCGCAUGGUUCGAAAUUGAAAGGCGGCUUCGGCUGUCACUUAUGGAUGGACCCGCGUCGCAUUAGCUAGUUGGUGAGGUAACGGCUCACCAAGGCAACAAUGCGUAGCCGGCCUGAGAGGGUGAUCGGCCACACUGGGACUGAGACCCGGCCCAGACUCCUACGGGAGGCAGCAGUAGGGAAUCUUCCGCAAUGGACGAAAGUCUGACGGAGCAACGCCGCGUGAGUGAUGAAGGCUUUCGGGUCGUAAAACUCUGUUGUUAGGGAAGAACAAGUGCUAGUUGAAUAAGCUGGCACCUUGACGGUACCUAACCAGAAAGCCACGGCUAACUACGUGCUAGCCGCCGCGGUAA
rnacentral:rRNA from 1 species